rnacentral:rRNA from 1 species
CCUACGGGAGGCAGCAGUGAGGAAUAUUGGUCAAUGGACGAGAGUCUGAACCAGCCAAGUAGCGUGAAGGAUUACUGCCCUAUGGGUUGUAAACUUCUUUUAUAUGGGAAUAAAACGUUCCACGUGUGGGAUUUUGUAUGUACCAUAUGAAUAAGGAUCGGCUAACUCCGUGCCAGCAGCCGCGGUAAUACGGAGGAUCCGAGCGUUAUCCGGAUUUAUUGGGUUUAAAGGGAGCGUAGGUGGAUUGUUAAGUCAGUUGUGAAAGUUUGCGGCUCAAUCGUAAAAUUGCAGUUGAAACUGGCAGUCUUGAGUACAGUAGAGGUGGGCGGAAUUCGUGGUGUAGCGGUGAAAUGCUUAGAUAUCACGAAGAACUCCGAUUGCGAAGGCAGUUCACUGGACUGCAACUGACACUGAGGCUCGAAAGUGUGGGUAUCAAACAGGAUUAGAUACCCCAGUAGUC